rfam:Papio anubis isolate 1X1155 chromosome 10, whole genome shotgun sequence.
AUCACCUGGGGAUCUUGUUAAAAUGCAGAUUGAUUCCGUGAAUCUGGGGUGAAAUUCUGCAUUUUUAACAAGUACUCAAGGGAUGCUGA